rnacentral:lncRNA from 1 species
GAGAGGCGGCCUCAGGUUAACUUCAAGCAUGUUGGGCUCUCCAGGAGGGAGAAGAGGCACCUUUGCCGUGGGUUGAGGACUCCUAGAACCAACCUGAGACUCCGCGGCCAUAUACACCUUACGACGUGUGUGUGUGUGGCGGGAGAUGGGAGGGGAGGAAUCCUGUAGAACCCAGAUCCCAUCAUUCCAGCAACUGCCAGAGCGUUCGAGAAUGUCAUGUCUGUACCUGUCUUCUCUCAUCUUUUGUGCCAACUGUUUUAUCAAACUUCUACCCCACUUUAGGUCUUCCAGAGUACAACACAAAUAUACUGCCCAGGUUCUAAAACAUGUAUAAGAGUUAACAAAAUCAGCUGAGGUUGAGCAGAAAUUGUAUAGGAAAAAAUAGGAAAAACACAGAGACCAAUCUCAGCUGCAAGAAGGUUCAGCUAGACACUGCAAGCAAAAGUAUAACUCCUGAAGGUCACUUUGAGAAGAUGAGGUAUCAACAGCCACUACUAUUAGGCAAGGUACAAGUAUCACAACACUAGUGCCAUCUGAGAAUCCAUGUCAACCCUUAGCUAAGGAAGUAGCUCCCAACCUGGAGAUCUCUGGGUCCUUGAGGACUCUUAAAGUAGUUAUGGAGCUCAUUGAACUAUUUUCAACAUUUCAAAAAGAUAUCACGUAGCAAUUGUACAUCCAUCCUUAAUAAAACUGCACAAGCAAACUG